AACAUUUUAUAAAGGUGAAAUUAUAGUUUUAAAAAGUUUUUAUAAAUAAAGUAAUGAGAUUAAACAAUUACCAACGUAAACGGUGACGGAUUAGAAAUUAAGAAAAAGAAGUUAUGACCAACGUACCUUUUGUAUCAGGGUCAAGGGAAUAAACAAUUUAAAUUAAACGAUUCCCGAAUAAAAAGGAGCUUUUCUUUAAAUUAAUUGGCCAAUGUUUAAUUAUUGGGUUUAAAGUUUAAAAAGCGGUGAAAUGCCACUUCGACUUUUUUGAUAUCUGGUUCCUGAAACUCAUUUUCUUUAGGAAAAAUGCCCCUUAAAGGGUAAGCUUUAAGGUUAAAAGAAAUAAAAUCAACGUGAAUUUAAUUCCGAAAGGUUUCGGAUUUUUAAGUUAAUUCUUAAAUGAAGAGGGAAUUUUGGGAAACUAAAUCCCAAAACAAAUAAUCCUUGAAUCAGUAUUCAAAUUCAACUAAGGUUAAGGAACUCGGCAAACGAGUGGUUGGAAUGUAUACUAAAAACAUUUCCUAUUUUUAUAAUUUUAGGUAACACCUGCUCCAUGCAGGACGUAAAUAGCCGCAGUAUUCUAACUGUGCUAAGGUAGCAUGAUUAUUAGCCUCUUAAUUGGAGGAUUGAAUGAACGGUGAAACCGAACUUAAACUGUCUCAACUUUAAAUAAAAGUUUACUUUUAAGUGAAAAGGCUUAAAUGUCCAAGGGGGACGAGAAGACCCUGUAGACCUUGAUUUAUCCCCCGCAAAUAAAACGGGAGAAAAAUUUACCUGGGAAGGGGUUUUAGAAAACUAAAUUUAUAAAAACGAACCAUACUUCUAAAAAUUGACCCUCAAGAUUGAGAGUUAAAGAUAAAGGUACCUCAGGGAUAACAGCGUUAUUUUACCUUCCAGAUCAAAUGGAAAGUUAAAGAUUGCGACCUCGAUGUUGAAUUACAUUUUCCUUCGUUAUGAAGAAGAGCGAUGGGUUAGUCUGUUCGACUAUUAAAAAUGUACAUGAUUUGAGUUUAGACCGACGCGAGUCAGGUCAGAUUCUAUCUCCUUGAAAUUGGUUGAGCCUAUUUAGUACGAAAGGACGAUUAGGCGCGUUGGAAAACGACUCACUU
rnacentral:rRNA from 1 species